rnacentral:rRNA from 1 species
CCUACGGGAGGCAGCAGUGGGGAAUAUUGCACAAUGGGGGAAACUCUGAUGCAGCGACGCCGCGUGAGUGAAGAAGUAAUUCGUUAUGUAAAGCUCUAUCAGCAUGGAAGUAAAUGACGGUACCUGAGUAAGAAGCCCCGGCUAACUACGUGCCAGCAGCCGCGGUAAGACGUAGGGGGCAAGCGUUAUCCGGAUUUACUGGGUUUAAAGGGAGCGUAGGCGGCGUUGCAAGUCAGGUGUGAAAGGUUGGGGAUCAAACGGAGGAGUGCACGGGAAACUGGACGGCUGGAUGGCAGGAGAGGUGGGCGGAAUUAGUGGGGGAGCGGUGAAAUGCGUAGAUAGAACGAAGAACUGCGAUGGAGAAGGCAGCUCAAUGGACUGUAACUGACAUUGAGGCUCGAAAGGGUGGGUAUCAAACAGGAUUAGAUACCCGAGUAGUC